rnacentral:lncRNA from 1 species
GCGUCAAUGUCUAACGAAUUGCAGUGCCAACACGAGGACAUGACUACUGCUUGGCAGCUGCUAACUCACCUAUAAAAUUCUUUCUGUUGAGAUGAGACUGUUACAUCACAAGGUAACCAAACUAUUUGUCUCUAGGAGUGGCAGACAUGACCUCUUAUUUGGUAGAGAUAUUUGCAUCAUGUACCAUGUGAUCACCCAGACCCUCUUGAACCUUCCUGCUUUGAUGUUUGAGGCCAUG